rnacentral:rRNA from 1 species
AUGGCGACCACCGACAUCCGCCUCUCCAUCGGGCACCAGACCCGCUUCGCCCUCCGCCUCGCCUCCGCCAUCUCCUCGCCCUCCCACGCCAAGGGAUCCGCCGGCAACGCCGCCUUCUCCCCGCUCUCGCUCCACGUCGCGCUCAGCCUCGUCGCGGCGGGCGCCGGCGGCGCCACCCGCGACCAGCUCGCCGCCGCGCUUGGGUCCGCGGAGAAAGGCGAGGCCGAGGGCCUCCACGCGCUCGCCGAGCAGGUGGUUCAGGUCGUGCUCGCCGACGCGUCGGGCGCCGGCGGCCCGCGCGUCGCCUUCGCCAACGGCGUCUUCGUCGACGCGUCGCUCAAGCUCAAGCCUUCCUUCAAGGAUCUCACUGUGGGCAAGUACAAGGCCGAGACACAGUCCGUGGACUUCCAAACUAAGGCUGCUGAAGUUGCUGGUCAAGUGAACUCCUGGGUAGAGAAAAUCACAACAGGUCUCAUCAAAGAGAUCCUCCCUGCAGGAUCUGUUGAUAACACCACUAGACUGGUUCUUGGUAAUGCCCUUUAUUUCAAAGGAGCUUGGACUGAGAAGUUUGAUGCAUCUAAGACAAAAGACGAGAAGUUCCACCUCCUUGAUGGGAGCUCAGUUCAAACACCGUUCAUGUCCAGUACAAAGAAGCAAUAUAUUUCGUCUUCUGACAGCUUGAAGGUACUGAAGCUUCCUUACCAGCAAGGCGAGGACAAGAGGCAGUUCUCCAUGUACAUUCUUCUUCCAGAAGCACAGGAUGGUCUCUGGAACUUGGCCAACAAGUUGAGCACCGAACCAGAGUUCUUGGAAAACCAUAUCCCAAUGCAGAAGGUUCCUGUCGGGCAGUUCAAGCUUCCGAAGUUCAAGAUAUCAUUUGGAUUUGAAGCGUCUGAUAUGCUCAAAGGUUUGGGUCUCCAGCUGCCGUUCAGCGCAGAGGCAGAUCUUUCGGAGAUGGUGGAUUCACCGGCGGGCUUAUACGUCUCAUCCGUUUUCCACAAGUCGUUUGUCGAGGUGAACGAAGAAGGCACCGAGGCUGCCGCUGCAACUGCUUCAGUGGUCACACUUAGGUCACUGCCAGUGGAGCCCGUGAAGGUGGAUUUCGUCGCGGAUCACCCUUUCCUCUUCCUUAUCCGAGAAGACCUCACAGGGGUGGUGCUAUUCGUCGGCCAUGUGUUCAAUCCCUUGGUGUCUGCAUGA